AAAAGAACCACAGCUUUGGACAAAAGUCUAUAGCUAGUGCAUUUGAAACUCCCCUUGCACAAGAGCUGACUGUAGCUGAGGGAAGACAGUUUACUCAUUUGCUCUCUCCUUUCAUGCAGUCAGCUGGCCUUCUUCUCAGGUGUAGAUCACCUAUUAUCAUUUCACCUGUUUUGAUUCUCUGAUGAGGAAAGUCCCAGGACUUAUCAGCUGGGAUAGGCCUCAUUUACAAGACAGCUCUGUUCAGUGUUUGGAAGAAAGAAAACCUGACAGGUUUCUCCGGAAAAGUGGCCAUCCAUGGAAUGGAUGAAAGGUUCCCUUUCUAUUCCAAACUAGUGGUAAUAAGGUGGGAGUCCAUCACACUUUGACUUGAAGUCUGCAAGUGGCCCUCCACUUCACUUGCCAUAUGACCAGGAGGAAUCAUCCUCAAAAUACUAUAUUGGGGCGGAAUGGUGUGUACUGAAGGAACAGACCUCUGUUGACCAAGGGAUUGCAGUGGCAACGCUAGGCUAGGUCUUGGAGGCUGGUGUAUGGCGAAGCGGUUGAAGGCAGGAGGCUGAUGGAGAGACUGGGGGGAAGAAAAGCCGAAAUGGAUUCACGGUGCCUUGGAUGGAGGACGAGAGGGGAAUUGCAAGCUCCUUCAACUGUUCUGUCCGGUGAGAAGUGAUCAAGCUUGGGCUGACAAGAGGCUCAGGGAGCCCUCACGUUCUUUCGCUUUUUUACCUGCCAAUCAAACUGCUACAAGACAACACCCUGAUCUGGCAUGGACAUCGCGGGUCCAAGCCUGUAGACCCAAAUCGGAUAAUCUCUGCAGCUGAUAACAAGCAAAAGAGAAGCCAGGCAACAGCCAUAUUAACGAAGAAAACAAUCAACUCUGAGGAUGCCACCCUGAAAGUUUUAUUUUCUCCAGAAAAGUAGAGUUCUCUUUGAGAGUUCUAGCCUGUGAACUCAGUAUGUAAAUGCGGUCAUCAAGCAAGACUGAACUGCCAACAGGGAAGAUUUUGAAUGUUUCACUUUCUUAAAACCCUUCACAGCAUUCCUUCUUCCAGUGGUACUUUACUCAAAGUUUUCCCCUUUUCCUAGCACUGUUGAAAAUGGCUCCAAAGCAACACUGCAGCAGCUAAACCAAUUGUACUAUGAAGUUGUUGAGAUGGCGUUUCAUCUGAAUCCUUUGUAAAAAUUAGAUUUUAAGUAGGGGUUGUUAAUCUGUCCAAGAGGUGACCAGCACAGCACUCUACUUCCCAUUUGGUUAAAUAUGUGGUUCCAAAGUGGCACCUGUGCUUAGACAUCAAACUCUCUGUUAGAAAUGAUAUCUUACAUAAAUUAUAAUUUCUCAAUUAGAUAAAAUUAUUUAAAAAUCAUAAAUUUGUUUAAUGCCCUAUAGCUUACAAAACACUUCUUGAUUCAUGAUUUUGUUUGAUCCUUAGAAUAAUGUUAUGAAAUAAACAAAUGUCAUUAAUCCGAUUUUACCAAUGAGAGCGCUGUGUUAUUUGCACACUCUGAUCUGGCUGAUAAAUGGAAGAACUGGGAUACCAACUCAGACUUUAUAGCUUCUAUUUCAACUUCAUUGCGGUAUAAUUGACAAAUAAAAUGGUUUUUCGAUUACAACCUAACUUUAGACUGAGGAGUGUUCGUUUUGAUUUGGAGGUAAAUGCUCAAGCCCUAAAACUCAAACUUUUAGUCGUCUCUACUAAUUUGCAAAUUAAGAAAUGCAAAAAUAAGGACUUAUAUUAACAUUAGUUUGUCUGUUUAGAUGCUCUUUGAAUUUUUUAAGUAUCCUUUUAUAUUACCAACCUCAUUCAUUUUGUGCACAUGUAUCUUUACUAUCCAAAUGGGUUUUCUCCCUUCCUCCCUUCCUUUCUUUUUCUUUCCUUCCUAAGUUUCUUCCUUCCUUCCUUCUUCUUUCCUUUUCUUUUUACUUCUCUUCUCUUCCCUCUCUCCCUCCCUCCCUUUGUCCCUCUUUUUCUUCCCUCCAUUUUUUCUCCCUCCCUCCUUCUGGUGUUUUGUUUUAAAACGUAGAGCAGCUGGAAUUAAGGAGCUUAUCUAAUGCAGUAUAUUAUGCUAAACUGAUAUGAUGCACAACAAAACACUCACUUCCUUUAAACUUGUAACAAGUCAGAGAAUCCUCAAGUAUAAUAUCAAGACUUCUCUGACAACCAAAAUCCAAUCCUGAGGGAUGAACUUUGAGUGUUAUAGAUCCUAGCAAGUUUCCUCUUGCUAUCUUUGUAGUCUUUAUAAUUCAUCUAAACUAUUGGUUAAUUUUCAUGUAAACUUCUCAUGUUGCAAAAGGAGAAGAAGAAGAAGAAGCAGAUGCAGAAGCAGAAGAAGAAGAAGAAGAAGAAGAAGAAGAAGAAGAAGAAGAAGAAGAAGAAGAAGAAGAAGAAGAAGAAGAAGAAGAAGGAAAAUUAUUUCAGAAAUUUGAAAAGAAAUAUUGUCAAAUUACUACAUAUAAUUUGUAUGUGAGUAUAUGGAAGCAUCAUGCUAGCAUUGGAAAGCAGAAAUAAACAUCAGCAGCUCCUCAGUUUCCUUUUAAGUCACCCCUGUCCAAUAUACUAUGGUAUCAAAGAUAGGUUCUCUCUCUCUCUCUCUCUCUCUCUCUCUCUCUCUCUCUCUCUCUCUCUCUCUCUCUCUCUCCUUCUCCUGAAGCUGUUAUCAACCUGGACAGAUUAAUUUGGCAAAAUAUGAUUUUAUUUUAAAUGUUAUAAGAAUUUUAUUUAGUGAAGGUUUUAAGCAAGUCAACCAAGGAUAAAAAAUAUUUUGUGUUCUUCUGAAAGGAAAACUAUAUAUCCACAUCUAUGUAGAAAAUCACAAUGAGUAGUGAAAAAUUCAGUAAACUAUUUGGGUAGUCGUUUCUACAAUACCAGAUUUUUCUCUGUCUCUCAAUAUUGUGAAUGGAUCUAGUGCAUUUGAGUGCUGAUAGAUACAAUUCAUGAUUAUGGGACUUAAUUUACUAAAGAAACCUAGAGUUGUCCUGUUGAGUACUGUUGGGUGCCUACCCUCCAUUGAAUGAGGAUAAUUGACUAUCUCUGUAAUAGGUAUGAGGCGUUCCUCCAAAUUAUACAAAGAUGAAAUCACUAAAUCCCUGUGCUAGGUCUUGGGAGGAAGUAGGGAUUGGAAUUAAAAAAUACAAAAAAGACUCAAGAUUUGGCCCCUGCUCUGCAGGAAAGAGAAAUUAACAUGUACACAAGUGUCUCUUCAAAAUAAUCUAUGUUAAAGGUAUGAACAAACAGCUAUGAAAAUAUAGAGUAACUUGGAAAAGCUUAUUGAAGAAAAUGGGGUUUGAAAAACGGAUAGGACUGUGUUAGAUUGGGACCACAUUUCAGGUGGAGAAGAAAGGUAGAGAGGUGAGAUUGUACAGUGCACCACAAAAAAUUAUUUAAUGAAUUUAAAAGAAAGCUUCUAGAAUAACACCAAAUGAGUCCUAAUAUUGUUUUGUCAUUGUUUUUGUUUGUUUGUCUGUUUGU